rnacentral:lncRNA from 1 species
CCAGUGGGAUCACAGCGCCUCCCAGUACAUCCCAGUGCCUCCCAGUAUCACCCAGUGGCUCCCAGUACAUCCCAGUGCCUCCCAGUAUCACCCAGUGGCUCCCAGUACAUCCCAGUGCCUCUCAUUGUCUCCCUGUGGGACCCCAGUGCCUCCCAGUAUCACCCAGUGGCUCCCAGUACAUCCCAGUGCCUGCCAGUACCGCCCAGUGGCUCCCAGUACAUCCCAGUGCCUCCCAGUAUCGCCCAGUGGCUCCCAGUUCCAUCCCAGUGCCUCCCAGUAUCACCUAGCACCUCCCAGUUCUAUCCCAGUGCCUCCCAGUAUCGCCCAGUGGCUCCCAGUUCCAUCCCAGUGGCUCCCAGUAUCUCCCAGUGCCUCCCAGUAUCGCCCAGUGCCUCCCAGUAGCUCCCAGUGCCUCUCAGAGCCAUCCCAGUACCUCCCAGUAUCACCCACUGGCUCCCAGUUCGAUCCCAGUGCCUCCCAGUAUCACCCAGUGC